rnacentral:rRNA from 1 species
AUGAACGCUGGCGGCGUGCCUAAUACAUGCAAGUCGAGCGAACAGACGAGGAGCUUGCUCCUCUGACGUUAGCGGCGGACGGGUGAGUAACACGUGGAUAACCUACCUAUAAGACUGGGAUAACUUCGGGAAACCGGAGCUAAUACCGGAUAAUAUAUUGAACCGCAUGGUUCAAUAGUGAAAGACGGUUUUGCUGUCACUUAUAGAUGGAUCCGCGCCGCAUUAGCUAGUUGGUAAGGUAACGGCUUACCAAGGCAGCGAUGCGUAGCCGACCUGAGAGGGUGAUCGGCCACACUGGAACUGAGACACGGUCCAGACUCCUACGGGAGGCAGCAGUAGGGAAUCUUCCGCAAUGGGCGAAAGCCUGACGGAGCAACGCCGCGUGAGUGAUGAAGGUCUUCGGAUCGUAAAACUCUGUUAUUAGGGAAGAACAAAUGUGUAAGUAACUAUGCACGUCUUGACGGUACCUAAUCAGAAAGCCACGGCUAACUACGUG